UUUUGACCUCGGAUCAGGUAGGGAUACCCGCUGAACUUAAGCAUAUCAAUAAGNCNGGAGGA
rnacentral:rRNA from 1 species